GAUGAACGCUGGCGGCGUGCCUAAUACAUGCAAGUCGAGCGAACGGACGAGAAGCUUGCUUCUCUGAUGUUAGCGGCGGACGGGUGAGUAACACGUGGAUAACCUACCUAUAAGACUGGGAUAACUUCGGGAAACCGGAGCUAAUACCGGAUGAUAUUUUGAACCGCAUGGUUCAAAAGUGAAAGACGGUCUUGCUGUCACUUAUAGAUGGAUCCGCGCUGCAUUAGCUAGUUGGUAAGGUAACGGAUUACCAAGGCAACGAUGCAUAGCCGACCUGAGAGGGUGAUCGGCCACACUGGAACUGAGACACGGUCCAGACUCCUACGGGAGGCAGCAGUAGGGAAUCUUACGCAAUGGGCGAAAGCCUGACGGAGCAACGCCGCGUGAGUGAUGAAGGUCUUCGGAUCGUAAAACUCUGUUAUUAGGGAAGAACAUAUGUGUAAGUAACUGUGCACAUCUUGACGGUACCUAAUCAGAAAGCCACGGCUAACUACGUG
rnacentral:rRNA from 1 species